rnacentral:sRNA from 1 species
GAUUCGAACCUGCGGCAGGUUCGGGUCUCACGCAGUGAGACAACGGAGCCGCUUGCGGCGACGGCCCGAAGGGCGAGGCGAAGUCGAGUCAUCCUGCACGACCCACCA